GCCUGGACGGGGCUGCUGCUCAGGCUCUAACAAUUCAGCACGUGGCCCCCACCCCGCCCCAGCCAGGGCAGCUCGUCCCGCACCCCCAAAACCCAGCAGGACAACAGAACCCAGGGGCCGGCCGGGGGGUGGGGCAGGCCGGGCAGAGCCCAGGCAGGAGAGGGUAGGGGAGCUGCAAGGGGGCAGGGUGGGGUGGGCUUCAGGGGGAGGCACAGGGAGGAUGUGCUGCCUGGGAACAUCCUUGAAAGGAUCAAAGACGUUGUUCUGAUAUUCCGUCCCAGGAGGGGUACCAGGCCCACCCCAGCCGGGGCCGCCGGGCCGCCAGGCAGAGCCCGAGAGGCAAAGGUGCCAGAGGAACCCAGGCUGUGCACGCCAGCUCAGCGCUUGCCAUGGGCAUCCCUCUCACAUGAACGCAGCUCAUGUUUUAGCUGGAAAACAGAGAGAGGUUUGGAGGAUUCUAAUAAAAGUCACCCGGGAGCCCCCUGCCGGGGGGCCCCUCUGGGUGUCCCCUCGCGGCCAUGAUAAAGGGCCGAGGGCUCUGCCAGGCAGCCCCAGCACAGGCAUCUUCUCCUGGCCCGGGAUCCUGCAGAAGAGCACAAGGGCUGCAGAGCAGAGGCCGGACGACGCCAGCUCUCAGAGUCAGCACCAACCCCGUCAGGGUGACCACUGGGGACCCAUCCACGCCACAGAGAGGUGACAGGUGAUACGCGUCCUGCGUCUCUGCUCCUUCCAGCCAGCUCCCCAGAACAGCAGGGCCAACCACCCUGGGCCUGGCCUCCUCCUGCUUCCUCCACACAGGCUCUGGACUCAGGCUCCGGCCGAGCCGAGGUACCACCCAACCGUGGAAUGACCGACGGGAGAGCGUCCGCCUGGGGCCUCCUGGGAGGGAUGGGCGGCACAGACGGGGGCGCAGGGGGAAGGCGCUUCGGACAGUGGAUGGCAGUGCCACGGCCUGACCGUCCCCAACUCCCUCCUCCCGCCCAGCCUCGUUUCCUCAUCUCUAAAAUGGAGCCAAGAGGCAGACCCGGGUCCUGGAGUCCUUGGGGGCUUAACCACCCGCCCGCCCUGAGCACUGAGAACCCGGUCCUUUGUUCUGGGGCGACCUGCAGGGAGCCAGGGGAGAGGGGACAGGCGCUCAAGAGAGGAAGCCGAGAAGCAGGGGUUGGGAAGGGGAGACCUAGAGAGAGACCCAGACCAGACCAGACCAGACCAGGGUGCUCAGAAGACCAGCUCAACCAGAUGGCAGCCCAGGAAGGGUGCGCCCCCUCCCGCCCCCACCACACAGGACAGGCUCUGUCCGAACGCACCAGCAGGGGACGGGUGGCUGGGUGCCCAACGGGUCCCAAGAAACGACGCCGGAAAGAAAGCCCAGCUGCCCGUGGGGGCCAAACAUUCCCCAUCCAGGCCGGGAGAAGGAGGAUCCCAGGACGAUGCACAGCCUGCAGCCCAGACCCAGGACCGGCCCACCGCAGAUCCACAGGUUUAAAGGGCACCGGCGAGAGCUGGCAUCACGGGCCCCAAGACCAAACUUCUGAGAAGCCCGGAAGAGGGGGUCCCGGAGCUCUCUCCUGCCAUGCUCUGGGGGUCGGAGGUGAACCUUCUGGGACUCUCUGCGCACGCCCCUGGGACCGCACCUACGCCCCUGGGACGGCACCUAGACCUAAACUUCAUCCCAGGCCCCACCCCGCCCCAGCCCCAGCCAUGCCCACGGCUGCAGGGCAGUCCAGCUGUCCAGAGGGGAUGCUACCAGUUGGAGACACAGUCACGUGGCUUGGCAUGUGGCCCUGGCCCAGGUAGAUCCCUGCCUGCUCGGGGACCCCU
ensembl:lncRNA